UGGCUUUAAGACAGCUGACCAAGAACGAGUGACAAUCAUUGUUGGACUCCAUCAUGAAAUGUGCUCCACCUUGGCAACGUGGGCUAAUCACCGGGGCUGGGAGGUUGGUGUUGGUUGACUCUUUCCUAACUGCUAGGCCAACACAUCACCCCCUCAUCUCGGACGCCCCUAAAUGAGUCCUACAACAUCUUGACAAGUGGUUUCAAUCCUUCUUCUGGGUUAGCACUGAUGAAGUUCAAGGAGUAAAAUGUUUGGUCGCUUGGACACAAGUUUGUAAGCCCAAGAUAAUGGGUGGGUUGGGAAUGAGAAACCUGAGCGGCAUGGCCUUGCCGUGCGUGCCCGAUGGGAGUGGAUGCGCCGCACGGAUCCAUCCAAACCAUGGCAUGGUCUCAAACUUAUCCCGAACCUCAAAGCCAAUGCCAUCUUCUACAGCUAGGGUGCAAGUGGGCAAUGGCCGAAAAAAUCUCUUUUGGAAAGAUCGGUAGAUUGGAGGUCAUUGCAAGAUCAUCCGGCUGGUUUGGAUCAAAGUUGUGACUAGGAAGAUCAAGAGCAGACUAGUGGCCGAUGGGCUCCCAACGACACCUGGGCCACGGCGAUAUUGGUGGCGUUCUAAGCAUGUGUGUUCUGAUCCACUACAUCAAACUGUGGGAUAAGGUGUGGGAGAUCAAAGUAGAACCAACCACGAGGAUGUGUUUUUUUUUCUUUUUUUUUGCGGGGUCACGAGGAUGUGUUCUCUUAGACCUGGAGCAAAUCUCCUGUUUACUCAGCUAUGGCAUGUUAUGUCACGGCUCCACGAAUUUUGCUGCACCUUGGUUGUGGAAAGCUCACAAGAUCUUCAUGUGGCUUGCUCUGCAAUUUUGCAUCUAGAAAGUCCGAUCAGCGAGCGAGGCAUGGGCUCCAGGAUAACAUGGCGUCUUGCUACCUAUGCCUGCAAGACCAAGACACUGCGAACCACCUGCUCAUCCAGUGUGUCUAUGCCAGGCUCAUGAGGCUGUAUUGGUCAGAAGGAUUGUGGCCAAGUACAAUCUCUGCAUGGAGGUGCAUAGGAGAACUAGUAAUUUUGUGAGAGGGUAGCCCUUGUAUCUUUGGUGUGGUGUUGGCCCUAGCAAUCAGCUUGUGAUUGUUCUGGCGUCUAAUGUGAACAUUUCCUCCUCUUCUAUAAAGAUAUUGUGACAGAGUAGCACUUGUA